CACAGGCGGAGAGAGAGAUCGCGCACAGCGGAGGAGAGACAAGCAGAAGGCGGACACUGUGAUGCGGAGCGGCGGAGCUGAGCGACAUCACCCUAAAACCGACAAAACUCACCGACACAAUGGCGUCGACAGCUCCAGAAGAAAGAGCAGAUCGCAGCGGUGGCGAUAUGAAUUCAAGAAAACUGGAUGAAGGAUGAAGGAGUUUCGUUCAGUUUUUAUGACAUGUAAAUGGUUCCUGAUCUUCGAGAUGUCCGAGAGAAAUGAGGACAAGGGAUUUUGAUCAGAUGAAGUUGGCUUGUAGAGGACCAGCACCAAAGUUCAAGAAAAGGAAGACUGCUCUAACCAAUUCUGGACAGUCAAGUGGAGACUACUGCUUAAUGAGGAAGAUGGCAACUCAUAUUGUGCUUUUGGAUUUGGAAAAAAGACAUUUAAUUUGUAUUUGGCUAUGAUGUUUGAAAUCAUUCGCUAAUGUGCUUCAACAGUUGUAUGUAUUUCAUGUUUUACUGCACUGUUUUUAUUUCAAUGAAAUGCCUGUAUUUCAAAAAAUUAAAUGCUUCCUUUGUCUUUUGAAAAGAAAAAUAAAAGUUCGUGUUUGAACAAUAA